CAUCACUACGCUAGAUGCAUAUCAAUAAGCGGAGGAAAAGAAACUAACAAGGAUUCCCUUAGUAACGGCGAGUGAAGCGGGAAGAGCUCAAAUUUGAAAUCUUCAAGGUUCUACCUUGACGAAUUGUAGUUUAUAGAAGUGUUUUCUGUUAGUAGAGUGGCAAAAGUUCUUUGGAAUAGGACAUCAUAGAGGGUGAGAAUCCCGUAUUUGACCGUUACUUUCCAGCUGUGUGAUACACUUUCAAAGAGUCGGAUUGUUUGGGAAUGCAGUCCAAAAUGGGUGGUAAAUUUCAUCUAAAGCUAAAUAUUGGCGAGAGACCGAUAGCGAACAAGUACCGUGAGGGAAAGAUGAAAAGAACUUUGAAAAGAGAGUUAAACAGUACGUGAAACUGUCAAAAGGGAAGCGUUUGACACCAGUGUUGUUUAGUUGAAAAUCAAUUCAAUAAUUUUUGAUUUUGAGUAGUAUUGACUUCAUCAGCUUGCUGCUUUCUUUUCAGGAAAUUAUUGAAUGCACUUUUCAGUUAACGAAGUCAACAUCAAUUUCUUUUGUUGUAAAAGGGUAAGAGGAAGGUGGCUUACGCUUCGGCGUAAGUGUUUAUAGCCUUUUACCUCUGCAAUCGGAGAGAUUGAGGACAGCAGCGUAGACUCUUCGGGGUUAGAUACACUUGUGCUAAGCUAUAGCCUUGUAUAGACAACUUGUUGACUAUGCUCAGUCAUGUAGCUUACUCGCUUGUGCUAUUUUACCUACGCUUAGGAUGUUGACGAGACUGUCGAUCUC
rnacentral:rRNA from 1 species